GGACUGGGUGGAUCACUCCUUAAUCGAAGAUCCCGGCUUCUUCAUAAGCUCCCACACGAAUUGCUUGAUUCACUGGUUAGACGAUUGGGUCUGUAGCUCAGUUGGUUAGAGCGCACCCCUGAUAAGGGUGAGGUCGGCAGUUCGAAUCUGCCCAGACCACCAAUUGUUGGUGUGCUGCGUGAUCCGAUACGGGGCCAUAGCUCAGCUGGGAGAGCGCCUGCUUUGCACGCAGGAGGUCAGGAGUUCGAUCCUCCUUGGCUCCACCAUCUAAACAAUCGUCGAAAGCUCAGAAAUGAAUGUUCGUGAAUGAACAUUGAUUUCUGGUCUUUGCACCAGAACUGUUCUUUAAAAAUUCGGGUAUGUGAUAGAAGUAAGACUGAAUGAUCUCUUUCACUGGUGAUCAUUCAAGUCAAGGUAAAAUUUGCGAGUUCAAAGCGCGAAUUUUCGGCGAAUGUCGUCUUCACAGUAUAACCAGAUUGCUUGGGGUUAUAUA
rnacentral:tRNA from 1 species